ACUUUUCCUCUUUAGAAUAUCACAAAAGAUCACAAAUUGUUACUGAGACACUUUGUCUCUGUCUUUCAACACAGAUAUGAAUCUGAAAUUAUAAUUUUACCCUUUUUCCUUUCAAUUAUUAAGAAAAAUAAAAACAAUAAAUUAACUUGUUACAUCAUGUUGUUAAAAAAAAAACUAGAUCUCAUUCAUCUUUCGUCUUUUUGUUCCUCCUUCAUCACCUUCCAUUCAAAUUACGCCGAGAUCUUCCCCUCCUCUUUCCCAGGCAUCCUCUUGGAUCUUUUUAUUCAAAAUCUACACCUUCUUCAGUCACUGGUUGGACCACCAUUGAAUCCUUCAGGCAGUAGCAGAGGACGAUCUCCUCAAACUCUAUCUUAGCAGUCUCCUGCUUCACAUGGGUUAUCAACAGGAGUGGUGGUCGGAAUCGCCAUCGAAGGAGUCAGUUUGCGACUUUGAUUUGUCUUUUCUAUGAGAAGAAAUGAAGAAAAGAUGAAAAGUACCUACUGUGCUCUUCCUCCACCACCCUCAUGGUCCCAAAAUUAGAGGACCUUAUGGUGGACAACAACAGGAACAAUGGCGGUAACAAAACGCAACACCGCCGUCAAUUAAUGUUUUACGUCACUACCACCACCUAAGCCUCCAUCUCCACCAUAGCAAAAAGUUGAAAAGUUAGGAGUGGUCAAUGAGAAAGAGAGUUUCAGGCAGAGGUUGAGAUCGUUAUCAGAGUUCACCACAUACAAAAAGUCACUCUUUUUUUUUUGGGUUAACGAUUGUGUAUCUACAAUUGUAGAUUUUUCACAGUAGAAUCCAUAUGUAUAUGUAUGAUUUGUGUUGGACGACAUUUUAAGUGGUUUGAAAGAGAUGCAAACAUAUAUGUGAGAAAUGUUGUGGCUUUGUGCAGAGAAUGUACAUGUGCAUAUUCAAACACUUGUACGUAUGGACAACAUUAAAACACUGUACACGUCGAUUUGGCUUAAUUUCUAGCUGCUAUUGGUUA